rnacentral:rRNA from 1 species
UUGGAGGGCAAGUCUGGUGCCAGCAGCCGCGGUAAUUCCAGCUCCAAUAGCGUAUAUUAAAGUUGUUGCAGUUAAAAAGCUCGUAGUUGAAUUUCGGGGUCAGCAGGUUGGUCGUGCCUCUGGUACGCACUGGUUUCGCUGAUUCCUCCUUUCUGAAGAACUGUAAUGUCAUUAAUUUGGUGUUGCAGGGAAACAGGACUGUUACUUUGAAAAAAUUAGAGUGUUUAAAGCAAGCUAACGCUUGAAUACAUUAGCAUGGAAUAAUGAAAUAGGACGUUUGAUCCUAUUUUGUUGGUUUCUAGGAUUGACGUAAUGAUUAAUAGGGAUAGUUGGGGGCAUUAGUAUUCAAUUGUCAGAGGUGAAAUUCUUGGAUUUAUUGAAGACUAACUACUGCGAAAGCAUUUGCCAAGGAUGUUUUCAUUAAUCAAGAACGAAAGUUAGGGGAUCGAAGACGAUCAGAUACCGUCGUAGUCUUAACCAUAAACUAUGCCGACUAGGGAUCGGAUGAUGUUAAUUUUUUAAUGACUCAUUCGGCGCCUUACGGGAAAC